UAGGGAAUCUUCGGCAAUGGACGAAAGUCUGACCGAGCAACGCCGCGUGAGUGAAGAAGGUUUUCGGAUCGUAAAACUCUGUUGUUAGAGAAGAACAAGGACGUUAGUAACUGAACGUCCCCUGACGGUAUCUAACCAGAAAGCCACGGCUAACUACGUGCCAGCAGCCGCGGUAAUACGUAGGUGGCAAGCGUUGUCCGGAUUUAUUGGGCGUAAAGCGAGCGCAGGCGGUUUCUUAAGUCUGAUGUGAAAGCCCCCGGCUCAACCGGGGAGGGUCAUUGGAAACUGGGAGACUUGGGUGCAGAAGAGGAGAGUGGAAUUCCAUGUGUAGCGGUGAAAUGCGUAGAUAUAUGGAGGAACACCAGUGGCGAAGGCGGCUCUCUGGUCGGUAACUGACGCUGAGGCUCGAAAGCGUGGGGAGCAAACAGG
rnacentral:rRNA from 1 species